rnacentral:rRNA from 1 species
ACGAACGCUGGCGGCGUGCUUAACACAUGCAAGUCGAACGGAAAGGCCUGCUUUCCCUUGUGGAUUGCGGGUACUCGAGUGGCGAACGGGUGAGUAACACGUGAGUGAUCUGCCCCCAACUUGGGUAUAGGCCUGGGAAACUGGGUCUAAUUCCCGAUAGGACUGCAGGGUGGUGCCUGUGGUGGAAAACGAUUUUCUAGUGGUUGGGGAUGAGCUCGCGGCCUAUCAGCUUGUUGGUGGGGUAAUGGCCUACCAAGGCGGCGACGGGUAGCCGGCCUGAGAGGGUGGACGGCCACAUUGGGACUGAGAUACGGCCCAGACUCCUACGGGAGGCAGCAGUGGGGAAUAUUGCACAAUGGGCGGAAGCCUGAUGCAGCGACGCCGCGUGGGGGAUGACGGCCUUCGGGUUGUAAACUCCUUUCGACCGCGAGGAAGCCACCUGGUUGGAAGGGUGGUGACGGUAGUGGUAGAAGAAGCACCGGCUAACUACGUG